GGCUUCGUAGCUCAACUGGUAGAGCGCUUGCCGUGUAGAGGCAUGGUGUUUCUUUCGCUGGUUCCAAUCCAGCCGAAGUCC
rnacentral:tRNA from 1 species